GGAAUUGAACGGGGGGCCGCCCAAACGGUGGAGCAUGUGGUUUAAUUCGAAGCAACGCGAAGAACCUUACCAGGUCUUGACAUGGGCGCUGACCGCCUAGGAGACUAGGCUUUCCCUUCGGGGACAGCGGUGACAGGUGGUGCAUGGUUGUCGUCAGCUCGUGUCGUGAGAUGUUGGGUUAAGUCCCGCAACGAGCGCAACCCUUGAUCUUAGUUGCCAGCAUUCAGUUGGGCACUCUAAGGUGACUGCCGGUGACAAACCGGAGGAAGGUGGGGAUGACGUCAAAUCAUCAUGCCCCUUAUGACCUGGGCUACACACGUGCUACAAUGGACGGUACAAAGGGCUGCAAACCCGCGAGGGGGAGCCAAUCCCAGAAAACCGUUCUCAGUUCGGAUUGCAGGCUGCAACUCGCCUGCAUGAAGCCGGAAUCGCUAGUAAUCGCGGAUCAGCAUGCCGCGGUGAAUACGUUCCCGGGCCUUGUACACACCGCCCGUCACACCACGAGAGUUUGUAACACCCGAAGUCGGUGGGGUAACCCUUACGGGAGCCAGCCGCCGAAGU
rnacentral:rRNA from 1 species